CCUACGGGAGGCAGCAGUGAGGAAUAUUGGUCAAUGGACGAGAGUCUGAACCAGCCAAGUAGCGUGAAUGAUGACUGCCCUAUGGGUUGUAAACUUCUUUUAUAGAGGAAUAAAACGAGGCACGUGUGCCUUUUUGCAUGUACUUUAUGAAUAAGGAUCGGCUAACUCCGUGCCAGCAGCCGCGGUAAUACGUAGGAUCCGAUCGUUAUCCGGAUUUAUUGGGUUUAAAGGGAGCGUAGAUGGGUUGUUAAGUCAGUUGUGAAAGUUUGCGGCUCAAACGUAAAAUUACAAUUGAUACUGGCAGUCUUGAGUACAGUUGAGGUAGGCGGAAUUCGUGGUGUAGCGGUGAAAUGCUUAGAUAUCACGAAGAACCCCGAUUGCGAAGGCAGCUUACUAAACUGUGACUGACAUUGAUGCUCGAAAGUGUGGGUAGCAAACAGGAUUAGAUACCCGAGUAGUC
rnacentral:rRNA from 1 species